AACCAGGACUGCAGAGAAGAGACAGCCGCCAAGAACCUCUGAAACACACAGUGACUACAUCAAAGAUGGGAGCCAUUAGAGGAGAAAAAUCUGGAGCUCUGCUGGUCAUGAACACAGCAACACAGAUUUAUGCAUACCAGACAUGCUAGGCAGAAGCUUGGGUGAGAAAGGAAUAGAUCACCACAUAUGGAAGCUACAAGAAGGUGCCUGCUAGGAUAUGACGAUAGUGCUGCAAUGACAUGGGUGUCCAGGACUGGCAGACAAGAGGCAAACAGCAGAUAUUCAGGCCACAGGGGAAAACAGACACUCACUUUUAAGUUUGUAUGAGAAGUAUCAAUAAAUAAUACCAGGGAUAGUAACUGGAAGAUUGUUGGAAAUGCAGAAUGAGAAGCAGACUAAGGAUGGAGAUAUGGAUUUGGGAGUUAGACCUCAAAAGACCCAA